GAUGAACGCUAGCGAUAGGCCUAACACAUGCAAGUCGAGGGGCAUCACAUGAAGUAGCAAUACGGAUGGUGGCGACCGGCGCACGGGUGAGUAACACGUAUGCAACCUGCCUUCAACAAGGGGAUAACCCGUUGAAAGACGGACUAAUACCCUAUAACACAGGGGUCCCGCAUGGGAAUAUUUGUUAAAGGACAACCGGUUGAAGAUGGGCAUGCGUUCCAUUAGCUAGUUGGCGGGGUAACGGCCCACCAAGGCAACGAUGGAUAGGGGAACUGAGAGGUUUAUCCCCCACACUGGUACUGAGACACGGACCAGACUCCUACGGGAGGCAGCAGUGAGGAAUAUUGGUCAAUGGACGCAAGUCUGAACCAGCCACGUCGCGUGAAGGAAGACGGCCCUACGGGUUGUAAACUUCUUUUGCAAGGGAAUAAAGUGGGCCACGUGUGGCCUUUUGCAAGUACCUUGCGAAUAAGGAUCGGCUAACUCCGUGCCAGCAGCCGCGGUAA
rnacentral:rRNA from 1 species